UACGUAGGGUGCGAGCGUUAAUCGGAAUUACUGGGCGUAAAGUGUGCGCAGGUGGCCGCGCAAGUCGAGUGUGAAAUCCCCGAGCUUAACUUGGGAAUUGCGCUCGAAACUACGUGGCUCGAGUGUGGCAGAGGAAGGUGGAAUUCCACGUGUAGCGGUGAAAUGCGUAGAGAUCCGGAAGAACACCGGUGGCGAAGGCGGCCUGCUGGGACGUGGCUGACGCUGAGGCGCGACAGCAUGGGGAGCGAACGGG
rnacentral:rRNA from 1 species